rnacentral:rRNA from 1 species
UGGGGAAUCUUGCGCAAUGGACGAAAGUCUGACGCAGCAACGCCGCGUGAGUGAAGAAGGCCUUCGGGUUGUAAAGCUCUGUCGAGUGGGACGAAAAACUAUGAGGUGAAUAGCCUCAUAGUCUGACGGUACCGCUAAAGGAAGCACCGGCUAACUCCGUGCCAGCAGCCGCGGUAAUACGGAGGGUGCAAGCGUUGCUCGGAAUUAUUGGGCGUAAAGGGUAGGUAGGUGGUCUCAUUUGUCUGGGGUGAAAGCCUUGAGCUUAACUCAAGAAGUGCCCCAGAAACGGUGAGACUAGAGUCCUGGAGAGGGUCGUGGAAUUCCCGGUGUAGCGGUGAAAUGCGUAGAGAUCGGGAGGAACACCAGAGGCGAAGGCGGCGACCUGGACAGGUACUGACACUCAACUACGAAAGCGUGGGGAGCAAACAG